rnacentral:lncRNA from 1 species
AUCAGGGUUGGGUGCAGACUUCCCUCCCUGGGCUUUGUGGGUCCACUGAAAGGCACAAACGUGGGGAAGGGGGUCUGGGGAGACCUUUGGAAGCAAUGGGAAGCACAUGAAGUCUGCUUCAUCCAUCCUCAAAGUGUGUUGGACAUCUGUACUUGAACACGCAGCUCCCCCAGGAGUACGCAUCUUCACUGAGGAUAAUGCGGAUAGGAGCGAUGCUGUUGCUCUCACUGAAGAAUGAAGAAAUCCCCAGCAGCUGGAUUGAUCCCACCUGUUAAACUCUUAAAUGAAUUCAUUCUUCU